AGUCAGGAUCUUAUCGAUAAGAGCAACCGAAUUUUAGGUUAUGUUAUGUAGAUUACAGUGAAUUAACCUUGAAUUAACAAAAUAAAGUGAAAAAAACUUUCUUUAUUCGUUAUAUCUAAGUUGUUAUCAACUCUUUAGAGUGUUUAUUGUUCAUGUUAUAUAUUUUUCAUUGGUUUUUAUUGACUAUAUAAUUACUUGAACGAUUUUUUAAUUCAUAAGUAGUGUUGCAUGUCGCAAAUUUUAGGUUAUCAACCUUGUUAAUUUCAUUUAAUUUGUAAAAAUUUCUGAAUUUAGAACUAAAGUUUAAAAAUAUUUUCCACUUAUACCAGUUAAACUUGGCAAUUAUCUAGAUUUAAUAUCCAAAUAACACAUUUAAAAUGUCGAAUGACAAAACAAACCCCACUGGUAUUCCCACAGACAUUGAUCCUAGUAAAUAUGGCUAUGAUCUGUACCCCCAACGCUGGAAGAAGAGGGAACAAUCUUUCUCCGACAUGCUUCUUGGCAGGAAUCUUGAAACUGAACGCAUAAAGUGUGAAGGCAGAGUAUAUGACUGUCUAAAAACAAAUCGUUUGGUGAGGCUUAUGAUGUCAGCUUUAAAAAGUGCUGGGUGUCCUAUAGACAUUCGCAGACAUAUAGCAUGCGAACCAUGUGACAACUCAGUGACUGGAGGCUAUGAUCCUAUUAUGAAUCAGAUAGUAGUGUGCAACCAGACCAGCUCGUCUAUAGUCCCAGGAGUGCUAGCUCACGAGAUGAUCCACAUGUUCGACUAUUGUGUGCACAAAGUCGACUUCAAGAAUAUCGAUCAUGUGGCCUGUACCGAGAUCAGGGCUGCCAACCUCACGCAUUGCAGCUUCAUGAGUGCUUUCAUGCAGGGUGACGUCACGCCUUUCAAUUUUAGGAAAUUACAUCAGGACUGCGUGAAAACGAAAGCCCUCCACUCAAUUUUGGCAGUACGGGAUGUGACCGAAGAGCAAGCGGUGGCUGUCAUUGAGAGAGUUUUCCCCACCUGUUACAGCGACCUUGAGCCGAUCGGCAGACGACUUAAGAGGAAUAGCAACGAUAUUGAUAAGGCAUACAGGGAAGGCUUCUAUUAUGGAUAUGUGUAGCUUAAGAUAUACAUUCAGUGAAGUUUAGAUUUUUCGUAAUAUGUAAUUAAUAAUUGAUUUAAUAGGCCUAAUUGUUUAUUGAGAUAUGUCUAGCUUAAGAUAUACAGUCAAUAAAGUUUAGAGUUUUUGUAAAAAUUAAUGAAUUGAUAGU
rnacentral:misc_RNA from 1 species